UACGUAGGUGGCAAGCGUUGUCCGGAUUUACUGGGCGUAAAGAGCGCGCAGGCGGUCAGAUAAGUCGAAUGUGAAAGCCCCCGGCUCAACUGGGGAGGGUCAUUCGAUACUGUUCGACUCGAAGGCAGGAGAGGGAAGCGGAAUUCCCGGUGUAGUGGUGAAAUGCGUAGAUAUCGGGAGGAACACCAGUGGCGAAAGCGGCCACCUGGACUGCUCCUGACGCUGAAACGCGAAAGCUAGGGUAGCGAACGGG
rnacentral:rRNA from 1 species